rnacentral:rRNA from 1 species
AGUGAACGCUGGCGGUAGGCCUAACACAUGCAAGUCGAACGGCAGCACAGUAAGAGCUUGCUCUUACGGGUGGCGAGUGGCGGACGGGUGAGGAAUACAUCGGAAUCUACUUUUUCGUGGGGGAUAACGUAGGGAAACUUACGCUAAUACCGCAUACGACCUACGGGUGAAAGCAGGGGAUCUUCGGACCUUGCGCGAUUGAAUGAGCCGAUGUCGGAUUAGCUAGUUGGCGGGGUAAAGGCCCACCAAGGCGACGAUCCGUAGCUGGUCUGAGAGGAUGAUCAGCCACACUGGAACGGAGACACGGUCCAGACUCCGACGGGAGGCAGCAGUGGGGAAUAUUGGACAAGGGGCGCAAGCGUGAUCCAGCCAUACCGCGUGGGUGAAGAAGGCCUUCGGGUUGUAAAGCCCUUUUGUUGGGAAAGAAAAGCAGCAGGUUAAUACCCCGCUGUUCGGACGGUACCCAAAGAAUAAGCACCGGCUAACUUCGG